rnacentral:rRNA from 1 species
AAUGUAUCGGGACGUGCCCAGUCGUGGGGGAUAACGUAGAGAAAUUUACGCUAAUACCGCAUACGAUCUAAGGAUGAAAGCGGGGGAUCGCAAGACCUCGCGCGAUUGGAGCGGCUGAUAUCAGAUUAGGUUGUUGGUGAGGUAAAAGCUCACCAAGCCGACGAUCUGUAGCUGGUUUGAGAGAACGACCAGCCACACUGGGACUGAGACACGGCCCAGACUCCUACGGGAGGCAGCAGUGGGGAAUUUUGGACAAUGGGCGAAAGCCUGAUCCAGCAAUGCCGCGUGCAGGAAGAAGGCCUUCGGGUUGUAAACUGCUUUUGUACGGAACGAAACGGCUCUUUCUAAUAAAGAGGGCUAAUGACGGUACCGUAAGAAUAAGCACCGGCUAACUACGUGCCAGCAGCCGCGGUAAUACGUAGGGUGCGAGCGUUAAUCGGAAUUACUGGGCGUAAAGCGUGCGCAGGCGGUUAUGUAAGACAGUUGUGAAAUCCCCGGGCUCAACCUGGGAAUUGCAUCUGUGACUGCAUGGCUAGAGUACGGUAGAGGGGGAUGGAAUUCCGCGUGUAGCAGUGAAAUGCGUAGAUAUGCGGAGG